UACAGAGGUCCCGAGCGUUGUUCGGAUUCACUGGGCGUAAAGGGUGCGUAGGUGGCAUGGUAAGUUUGAUGUGAAAGCUCAGGGCUCAACCCUGAAAUGGCAUUGAAUACUACUGUGCUGGAGGUUUGGAGGGGGGACUGGAAUUCUUGGUGUAGCAGUGAAAUGCGUAGAUAUCAAGAGGAACACCAGUGGCGAAGGCGAGUCCCUGGACAACACCUGACACUGAGGCACGAAAGCUAGGGGAGCAAACAGG
rnacentral:rRNA from 1 species